rnacentral:lncRNA from 1 species
GUGUUCCAUCAUUGGCCUUCAAAUACAAAUACUCGGGGCAUAACCCAGAUAAAAAUAUAUACAAAUUCUUCGGGGCAUUCCCCGGAUAAAUUUAACUAAGGGAACUACCUCUCCCCUUAAAACUACAAAAUCCUAAGGCUUGCCUACCCAAGUGUAGUCGGCCUAAACAUGCUCCUACCGAAAAAUUAGUAAAAAGAACUAUGCAAGUGAAAAAUUUAAAAUACUAACAACUCGUAUUUUAUCUCAUUCCAUAAACCUUAGGUCCAAUUUUAUUUUGAAUUGCAUCUCCGCAAAUUGCUCUUUUAAAUCCAACAACUUACGGUCCUAUUUCCAAUUCAAAUUAAGUAUAUAAUUCGAAUAACUAGACGUGCGAUUCCAAUUCACUCGCAGUCAAUUCAAGUAGUCAUACGAGAGGGCACAUUCAAAGCCAUAGAUAAUAAGUCACAAUAUCGGAUCACCAAGCAAAUAGUUAACAUUAGAACGAGCAAAGGAUUGAACCUUAUUGCGCGAAACCUUUCGAUUAAAUUUCAGUAGCUACGAAUGUGGUUUAAAGCAGCAAAUUCAACUCGAACCAAACCAACGGACCACACCUUGACGGAAACUCCAACAAUCGAAUACCCAUUACAACUCGACAUCAUUUCGGAAGCCAAGACCAAAGGAACAACUGCUUUUGCUUUUGGUCGUUGAAAAGAGAGAUCGACGUCGACGGAGAAAUUCUGCCGCUGACGAAUCAGAUCUUGCCUUCUUGGAAACAACGUUUAAUGGAAACCAAUUUCUUUUUCAAAGUAAAAUAUUCACAAGUUUGAAUCACUGGAACUAAUUUAACAAUAUAUAUAAAAUCUAAAAAAUGUCAAAAGGCAGAGUUCCUGAUUAAGCCUUCGCCAGAAAGCUAUUGUCCAAUCAACUUCUUUUCUUUCUCUUCACAAUCAAAGGAUGAGAAAAAGAAAAAAGAAAAAUUAGUGAGAGGGUGGUUGUGGUAGUUCUCCAUUAAUGGUGGUCAACCAUCGAUGGUGGUGAAGGAGGGCAGUGACGCAGGUUGUGGUUUAACGUUGGAGAGGGUGGUUCAGAGCAAGGAUCGUUGGCUGGCUGGUUACUAUUGAAAAGGAUCACCGGCGGGUGAAGACAUGGUGGUUGGCGGUGGCUGCGAGGUUAAUAAGAUGGGGUCUAUUUUAGGGUGAAGGUGACAAGUUUCAGGGGGUCUUCGCCGGUUUCAGGCGGUCAUGGUGGACGCUGGCGGCGAGUUUUAAGGGUUCUAGGGUUUGUAGUCUAGGUUCAUGGUGUCGUCUCCAUUGCUGUGUAAGGUUAGCUCCCUAGGUUUUUGGUUGUGUCUUGUGUGUUCUAAGGUUAAAGAAGAAGGAGGAGGGUUAGGAAGAAGGUAAUGGGUUACGUCUUGUGCUUUUAAAUUGGGCUCAAAGAUAUUGGGUUAAAAAUAAAUGUCCAAACCUUAAUUAAAUCACUUUAAUAUAAGAUUAAUGUAUUAAAAAUG